rnacentral:rRNA from 1 species
GCAGCCUGAUCCAGCCAUGCCGCGUGAUUGAUAGAAGGCCUUAGGGUUGUAAACGAUCUUUCAGAUGGGAAGAUAAUGACGGUACCUUCAGAAGAAGGUCCGGCUAACUCCGUGCCAGCAGCCGCGGUAAUACGGAGGGAGCUAGCGUUGUUCGGAAUUACUGGGCGUAAAGCGUACGUAGGCGGACUAUUAAGUCAGAGGUGAAAUCCCAGGGCUCAACCCUGGAACUGCCUUUGAUACUGGUAGUCUAGAGGUCGAGAGAGGUGAGUGGAAUUCCGAGUGUAGAGGUGAAAUUCGUAGAUAUUCGGAGGAACACCAGUGGCGAAGGCGGCUCACUGGCUCGAUACUGACGCUGAGGUACGAAAGUGUGGGUAGCAAACAGGAUUAGAUACCCUGGUAGUCCACACCGUAAACGAUGAAUGCUAGUCGUCAGGGGACUUGUCCUUUGGUGACGCAGCUAACGCAUUAAGCAUUCCGCCUGGGGAGUACGGUCGCAAGAUUAAAACUCAAAGGAAUUGACGGAGG